rnacentral:rRNA from 1 species
GACAGAGGGUGCAAACGUUGUUCGGAAUUACUGGGCGUAAAGCGCGUGUAGGCGGCCCUGUAAGUCGGGUGUGAAAUCCCACGGCUCAACCGUGGAAGUGCACUCGAAACUACAGGGCUAGAGUCCUGGAGAGGAAGGUGGAAUGCUUGGUGUAGAGGUGAAAUUCGUAGAUAUCAAGCGGAACACCGGUGGCGAAGGCGGCCUUCUGGACAGUGACUGGACGCUGAGACGCGAAAGCGUGGGGAGCGAAC